AAUGCACCAAUUAAAAGGCUAACAAAAAUCUGUGUGAGUGUGUGUGAAGAACGAGAGAUGAGUCAAAACAGGAGGACUAGUUAGUUGGGUGUGAGAAUUAAUGGAGUGGUUCUAGAAAAAGCUGGUGCAUAAGCUAAGCUAGGCCCGGAUUUGGGUAUGUAGAAAUUGGCAAAGGAUUAAGAAGGGAAAGAGAAAAGCAGGGAUUAAAAAUGGUUAGAGAUGGGAAGCUGCUUUAUCGUGUAGAGUGUUGGAAGCAACAAGUGUGGGAAUCCUGGUGUCAGAUUUUAUUGGACCCUCCUCUUUCUUCCCCCCUUGGUUUUGUGCACUCAUCAGUACUGCCUCUGGCUGCAGUUGCAGUCUUGUGUGUUGUUAUAUAUGCUUCUUCUGCCUCACUAGCUAGCUACCCUCUCUCUUCCUGUUUGUAUGCAAGUGUCUCUCACGGAAACUUUCUCUGCUUCUAUAAGCUAAUGCCUCGAAUAGCACGUAAACUCUUUCAAGAACACAGCUAUUGAAUUGGUAUUGGUUUUGGUAUGUGGAUGGUGAGAGUACUGCAGACAAGCAUGUGCUGUGCAGCUAGCACUCUCUCAAGCAGGCAUGUAGAGAGAGAGAGAGAGAGUGCAAUAAUGUGCUUACUAGCUAGAAGGGUUUGUUUUGUUUUGUUGGUGAUUAGUUCUUGGAUUUAACACAAGCAAACACGCAUGUUAUAGUUA